rnacentral:rRNA from 1 species
GAACGCUGUAGCAAUACAGAGUGGCAGACGGGUGAGUAACGCGUGGGAACGUACCCUUCGGUUCGGAAUAACUCAGGGAAACUUGAGCUAAUACCGGAUACGUGCGAGAGCAGAAAGAUUUAUCGCCGAAGGAUCGGCCCGCGUCCGAUUAGCUAGUUGGUGAGGUAAAGGCUCACCAAGGCGACGAUCGGUAGCUGGUCUGAGAGGAUGAUCAGCCACACUGGGACUGAGACACGGCCCAGACUCCUACGGGAGGCAGCAGUGGGGAAUAUUGGACAGAUGGGCGCAAGCCUGAUCCAGCCAUGCCGCGUGAGUGAUGAAGGCCCUAGGGUUGUAAAGCUCUUUCGCCAGGGACGAUAAUGACGGUACCUGGAUAAGAAGCCCCGGCUAACUUCGUGCCAGCAGCCGCGGUAAUACGAAGGGGGCUAGCGUUGUUCGGAUUUACUGGGCGUAAAGCGCACGUAGGCGGAUUUUUAAGUCAGGGGUGAAAUCCCAAGGCUCAACCUUGGAACUGCCUUUGAUACUGGAAGUCUCGAGUCCGGGAGAGGUGAGUGGAACUGCGAGUGUAGAGGUGAAAUUCGUAGAUAUUCGCAAGAACACCAGUGGCGAAGGCGGCUCACUGGCCCGGUACUGACGCUGAGGUGCGAAAGCGUGGGGAGCAAACA